UACAGAGGGUGCAAGCGUUGUUCGGAAUUAUUGGGCGUAAAGCGCGUGUAGGCGGCUUAGCAAGUCGGGCGUGAAAGCCCUCGGCUCAACCGAGGAAGUACACCCGAAACUGCUGAGCUUGAGUGCCGGAGAGGAUGGCGGAAUUCCCCAAGUAGAGGUGAAAUUCGUAGAUAUGGGGAGGAACACCGGUGGCGAAGGCGGCCAUCUGGACGGUAACUGACGCUGAGACGCGAAAGCGUGGGUAGCAAACAGG
rnacentral:rRNA from 1 species